rnacentral:rRNA from 1 species
GAUGAACGCUGGCGGCGUGCCUAAUACAUGCAAGUCGAGCGAACAGACGAGGAGCUUGCUCCUUCGACGUUAGCGGCGGACGGGUGAGUAACACGUAGAUAACCUACCUAUAAGACUGGGAUAACUUCGGGAAACCGGAGCUAAUACCGGAUAAUAUUUCGAACCGCAUGGUUCGAUAGUGAAAGACGGUUUUGCUGUCACUUAUAGAUGGAUCCGCGCCGAAUUAGCUAGUUGGUAAGGUAACGGCUUACCAAGGCAACGAUGCGUAGCCGACCUGAGAGGGUGAUCGGCCACACUGGAACUGAGACACGGUCCAGACUCCUACGGGAGGCAGCAGUAGGGAAUCUUCCGCAAUGGGCGAAAGCCUGACGGAGCAACGCCGCGUGAGUGAUGAAGGUCUUCGGAUCGUAAAACUCUGUUAUUAGGGAAGAACAAACGUGUAAGUAACUGUGCACGUCUUGACGGUACCUAAUCAGAAAGCCACGGCUAACUACGUG